AUACGGAGGAUCCAAGCGUUAUCCGGAUUUAUUGGGUUUAAAGGGUGCGCAGGCGGAAGAUUAAGUCGGCGGUGAAAUUUUGCAGCUCAACUGUAAAAGUGCCAUCGAUACUGGUUUUCUUGAGUGUGGAUGGAGUAGGCGGAAUUUGUGGUGUAGCGGUGAAAUGCAUAGAUAUCACGAGGAACUCCGAUUGCGCAGGCAGCUUACUAGGCCAUAACUGACGCUCAGGCACGAAGGCGUGGGGAUCAAACAGGAUUAGAUACCCUGGUAGUCCACGCAGUAAACGAUGAUUACUCGCUGUUUGCGAUACACAGUAAGCGGCUUAGCGAAAGCGUUAAGUAAUCCACCUGGGGAGUACGUUCGCAAGAAUGAAACUCAAAGGAAUUGACGGGG
rnacentral:rRNA from 1 species